CCCUUAGAUGUUCUGGGCCGCACGCGCGCUACACUGAUGCAUUCAACGAGCCUAUCCUUGACCGACAGGUCCGGGUAAUCUUUGAAUCUGCAUCGUGACGGGGAUAGAUUAUUGCAAUUAUUAAUCUUCAACGGGGAAUGCCUAGUAGGCGCAAGUCAUCAGCUUGCGUCGAUUACGUCCCUGCCCUUUGUACACACCGCCCGUCGCUCCUACCGAUUGAAUGCUCAGGUGAGCCAUUCGGACUUUCAUCAUGCUGGUUUCCAGUUUUGAUGAAGGAAAGUCUUGCGAACCUUAUCAUUUAGAGGAAGGAGAAGUCGUAACA
rnacentral:rRNA from 1 species